AUACCUUUCUCGGCCUUUUGGCUAAGAUCAAGUGUAGUAUCUGUUCUUAUCAGUUUAAUAUCUGAUAUGUGGCCCAUCGGGUCACACGAUAUUAAAUUAAUUUCUUGAGGGGGGAGGGUUCGCCACAGUAGCUUGCUACUGGGACCUUCAAGCGUCGCCCAUGCGUUGCACUAUUGCACUGGCCUGGCGCACCCCAC